rnacentral:rRNA from 1 species
UACGUAGGGGGCUAGCGUUGUCCGGAAUCAUUGGGCGUAAAGAGCGCGUAGGCGGCCAGAUAAGUCCGGUGUGAAAGUCACAGGCUCAACCUGUGAAUGCCGCUGGAAACUGUCUGGCUAGAGUCCGGGAGGGGCGAGUGGAAUUCCUGGUGUAGCGGUGAAAUGCGCAGAUAUCAGGAAGAACACCUAUGGCGAAAGCAGCUCUCUGGGACGGUACUGACGCUGAGACGCGAAAGCGUGGGGAGCGAACAGG